rnacentral:rRNA from 1 species
CCCUUAUAGUCUUCACCCUGCUCAGCAUGCCGCGUGGGUGAAGAAGGCCUUCGGGUUGUAAAGCCCUUUCGGCGGGGAAGAAAUCGGCCGGGCGAAUAGUCCGGUCGGAUGACGGUACCCGCAGAAGAAGCACCGGCUAACUACGUGCCAGCAGCCGCGGUAAUCA